UACGAAGGGGGCUAGCGUUGUUCGGAUUUACUGGGCGUAAAGCGCACGUAGGCGGAUCGUUAAGUCGGGGGUGAAAUCCUGGAGCUCAACUCCAGAACUGCCUUCGAUACUGGCGAUCUCGAGUCCGGAAGAGGUGAGUGGAACUCCUAGUGUAGAGGUGGAAUUCGUAGAUAUCGGGAGGAACACCAGUGGCGAAGGCGGCAUCCUGGCCCUGUCCUGACGCUCAGGGGCGAAAGCGUGGGGAGCAAACCGG
rnacentral:rRNA from 1 species